UAAUUGUCUCUCCCAAGAUGAAGUUGUGGU
rnacentral:piRNA from 1 species